rnacentral:rRNA from 1 species
GCUCAGGAUGAACGCUAGCUACAGGCUUAACACAUGCAAGUCGAGGGGUAGCAGGGUAGCAAUACCGCUGACGACCGGCGCACGGGUGAGUAACACGUAUCCAACCUUCCCAUAACUCGGGGAUAGCCUUUCGAAAGAAAGAUUAAUACCCGAUAGUACUUUAUUAAGGCAUCUUAAGAAAGUUAAAGAUUUAUUGGUUAUGGAUGGGGAUGCGUUCCAUUAGAUAGUUGGUGAGGUAACGGCUCACCAAGUCUUCGAUGGAUAGGGGUUCUGAGAGGAAGGUCCCCCACAUUGGUACUGAGACACGGACCAAACUCCUACGGGAGGCAGCAGUGAGGAAUAUUGGUCAAUGGGCGAGAGCCUGAACCA